rnacentral:rRNA from 1 species
GAUGAACGCUGGCGGCGUGCCUAAUACAUGCAAGUCGAGCGAACAGACGAGGAGCUUGCUCCUCUGACGUUAGCGGCGGACGGGUGAGUAACACGUGGAUAACCUACCUAUAAGACUGGGAUAACUUCGGGAAACCGGAGCUAAUACCGGAUAAUAUAUUGAACCGCAUGGUUCAAUAGUGAAAGACGGUUUUGCUGUCACUUAUAGAUGGAUCCGCGCCGCAUUAGCUAGUUGGUAAGGUAACGGCUUACCAAGGCAACGAUGCGUAGCCGACCGGAGAGGGUGAUCGGCCACACGGGAACUGAGCCACGGACCAGACUCCUACGGGAGGCAGCAGUAGGGAAUCUGCCGCAAUGGGCGAAAGCUUGACGGAGCAACGCCGCGUGAGUGAUGAAGGUCUUCGGAUCGUAAAACUCUGUUAUUAGGGAAGAACAAAUGUGUAAGUAACUAUGCACGUCUUGACGGUACCUAAUCAGAAAGCCACGGCUAACUACGUG